AAGCAAAGAGAAAAAAGACUGAAAAAAAGAGCAAAAUAUCCAAGAACUGUGCAACAACUACGAAAGGUGUAAGACACACAUUA